UACGUAGGGUCCGAGCGUUGUUCGGAAUUACUGGGCGUAAAGGGCUCGUAGGCGGCCAACUAAGUCCGACGUGAAAUCCCAAGGCUUAACCUUGGAACUGCGUCGGAUACUGGAUGGCUUGAAUUCGGGAGAGGGAUGCAGAAUUCCAGGUGUAGCGGUGAAAUGCGUAGAUAUCUGGAGGAAUACCGGUGGCGAAGGCGGCAUCCUGGACCGACAUUGACGCUGAGGAGCGAAAGCUAGGGGAGCAAACGGG
rnacentral:rRNA from 1 species